ACGUGAAACCGUUCAGGGGUAACCUGCGAAACUCGAAUGAACGAACGGAGAGAUUCAUCGUCCCUCGGCGGCGUACGGUCGUACACCUCGAUGUCGUGCUUGCGUUACGUAAGUGGGAUAUCGUAUGACGCGGGUCGCGUCCGUCGACUUUCGCCGAAGGCGUGCACUUCUCUCUUAUUAAUACAUCGCGACCCGUUCGAGGUCGGCGUAAGCGACGUUCGGGAGUCCAAUUGUCGCGUUCACGCACUGCGGCUGGACCGGGACGGAGGCCUGCCGGCUGUCGGACGGUAAUACAAAAUCUUACAAUAUACGAAUCGCGCACGCGUCUCAAAACGCGUCCGGCCCGACGCAAGCGUGCGCCGAUAAUGUCUCUGUCCUGCCCGAGUGCGGAUAGGGGCGCGGUGCUGCUGUCUGUCGCUGCCGUGCUGUCUCGGACUGUGCGCGUAUCCGUCUGCGAUGAUUCAUUUUCGGGCACUCGCAGGACCCGUCUUGAAACACGGACCAAAGGAGUCU
rnacentral:rRNA from 1 species